GACGAACGCUGGCGGCGUGCUUAACACAUGCAAGUCGAACGGAAAGGCCCUGCUUUUGUGGGGUGCUCGAGUGGCGAACGGGUGAGUAACACGUGAGUAACCUGCCCUUGACUUUGGGAUAACUUCAGGAAACUGGGGCUAAUACCGGAUAGGAGCUCCUGCUGCAUGGGGGGGGUGGGAAAGUUUCGGCGGUUGGGGAUGGACUCGCGGCUUAUCAGCUUGUUGGUGGGGUAGUGGCUUACCAAGGCUUUGACGGGUAGCCGGCCUGAGAGGGUGACCGGCCACAUUGGGACUGAGAUACGGCCCAGACUCCUACGGGAGGCAGCAGUGGGGAAUAUUGCACAAUAGGCGGAAGCCUGAUGCAGCAACGCCGCGUGCGGGGUGACGGCCUUCGGGUUGUAAACCGCUUUCGCCUGUGACGAAGCGUGAGUGACGGUAAUGGGUAAAGAAGCACCGGCUAACUACGUG
rnacentral:rRNA from 1 species